rnacentral:lncRNA from 1 species
GGUUUUUGAAGUCUUAGCAACUGUUGUUCAAAGUCAAGAUUUGUAUCAAUGAUUUGGAUUUUAUAUAAUAUAAUUAGGGCUAGCAAUUUUGGCUAGUUCAUGCAAUUCGUAUAACUUCUACAAUUAAAAAUUUGAUAUUAUUUGGAUUAUUAGAUAUGCUAAGUAUAUACAAAAUUUUGUGAUAAUCUAACGGCAUGAUUUAGAAAUAUCUAGUUUUUAGCACAAGAGGAUUUUGGAAGGUGGUAAUUUGAAAUUGGGUAGGGUUUCUAUGAUGUCUAAAGAUAUACAAGUCGGAUUAAGGUGAAAAUUGGCAUGGUGUUGAAAGACUUUAAGAUCAAACUACAUACCAAUUUUGAAAUAAAGUUAACAGUUAGAAAGGGAGAAUUCACUACUAGGAUUUUUGCUUCACUUUGUAAGUUGGCAAUGGAGUGACAUUAGUGCAAAUUUUGGAGGUUUUUCUAGGAU